UGGAUAAAAGCGGUCACUCCGGGUGUUUUCACUGGCGCGGUGUUCCCGACGGGCUCGGAGCGUUUCCGGGGAGGGGCCCGUGGUGAUUUUUUUGCUGCGUAAUCGGUCCGGCGGAGGUUUCGCUUCUUCGGCUCCCCCGGAGCCGCCUCUGCCCCCGCUCCGACCGCGGAGCCGGAGCCGUGGCACCGCCGCCUCCCCACGGCGCUCAAGGGAUACCGAGGGGAAAUGUCUUCCUGCCCCGUACGAUCCCUCUUUUGAUGCUCUGUAUUUCCUGCUUGGAGUUGCCAUCUUCCCAAACCUUGGAAGUAUCUUCUCUUGAGGAACUGACUGCAGCCUCUUGCUGACAGGCUUUCUUUGUUGUUACUAUCUUACCUUCCAUAAAUUUUAUCACAAGUUCAG